AUCACGGAUCCCACAUGGAACUAUCUGCUGAAAGGGAGCCAGAUCUGUGGUGACAUUCAGCGCUAGGCCAUGAUACGUGACCCAUUGAGAUACUCUAAUACCAAUUGCAGCUAAUUUGCGACCUUCUGAAAGAAGCCAGUGUUAGACCAGUAUUUCAUGCCUCCCUUCAGAAUUAACAACAACAACAACUACGAGAAAUAAUAACAACUCCUACGAGAAAUUGUUCUAAAUCACCAAUAUCAUUCAUAUGCCCCAGAGCACAUAAGGGACCUUCAAUACAAACUAUUUUAACUAACUAUUUUCACCUAAACCUUUAUAACCACAGUAUCUUAAAAUCUUGUUUAGAAAUAUCUGAUAAUACUGUUGCAGACUGAUAUAGGCCAUCCAAAUAAUAUGGAGAUUCAGAACUUACCGACCCAAACACCAGUUAAACCGUCAACUCUGGAAGCCUCCAUAGAAAAUGAUGAAGAAAGAACACGUAUCAUCACCUCCUCAAGGCUCCUGAGGUACCAAUGAAGGUCCAUCUUAUGAUAUCGGAGAUUGAUGAUUGGGUACAUAACUAGCUACAAUUUCAGAUAAAAGCAUCACAUGUCAGAAGUAUAGAGCUCAAACGAACACAUGAUUCAAAGUCUUUAAGCACAUAUGCAAAUCCUAAGUAAUACAUUUCAAAAAGGGGAAACCUAACACCAUCUACACAUCCCUGCCCCAGCAGUUAAACAGUGGAGAGUAUAACAGCAGUCUUGUCAAAGCCCCAUUUCAGCUUACCAACAUCUGAUUAGAGAACUUAGAAUAGAAACUUUGCAAGCCCUUGAAUCAAUGCCAUCAAGCAUUAAAAACAACCUAUUCAGUCAGCUGAAGAGCACACUACGAAAAAUGAGGAUCAUACUGCAUCAAUACAAUUGGGGAAGUAGGCAGCAAGUGAAAAUGUACCUG
rnacentral:lncRNA from 1 species